UAUUUCAUUUUCGAAAUCUCCGCCUCCCGCUGCCACAUCUCACCGUCUCACGCCGCCACCGGACUGCAUCUUCUUCCCUAACUAACUUCUUGAGGAUAUUUAUAUGCCGGAGUAGGAGUUUGCAAUGUGUGUCAUAA